UGCACUGCUAUGAAGGUACCUCUAUGGGCACUGGAUCUGCAGAAUGCACUGCUAUGAAGGUACCUCUAUGGGCACUGGAUCUGCAGAAUGCACUGCUAUGAAGGUACCUCUAUGGGCACUGGAUCUGCAGAAUGCACUGAAGGUACCUCUAGGGGCACUGGAUCUGC